AUUUGGCUAUGAGGACAUUUUACUCAGCUUUAAUGCCAGUUCUGCUUCUGAGAAUUCGUGACUGAUAGAGCUGUAAUUUACUCUGAGCCUUUU